CCCGCCUCCACCUGAGCCACCCCCACCCUACGCAGGAAUGGAUGAGGGAAACUGAGGCCCAGACCAGCAGGCAGGCUCAAGCUUCUCUUGGACCCUUCUGGCUGACCUCAUGCUGAAUUAGCUAUAUCCAAUUGGUUGAAUGUCGCAAGAAUGGGGCUAUGACUUCUGCCUACUCACAGUAGGUGUUCCAUGGUGUUGGAUGUGCCUUGCCAGCUGCAUGUCCUCAUCUGACACAGAUGGGCUGCCCUGACCCUGGGGACUCCGGAGCUGCCCCUGGCACCCCUCUGGUUUCCACUUUUGAACAUUACAGUUGACAGUGCCAGAUUGUGUCCCACCCCAGGGCACAUGCCUGUUCCAGAUGAAGGGGGAUCUUUCAUGUUCACCCUGGGAAGAUGUCAGCCGGGCUGGUCGCCAGAGCCCCAGGACUUGUGAUUGAGUGCAGGGGAGGAGGCAGCAUGGCUGUCUGUCAGAGGACCUGCCCUGCCAGGAGAUCGCUCUGCCAUCCCAAAGGUCAACAAAGGAUGCUAGGACUCAGAGAUCUUGACCUGUGCGUGCACUCAGGGACCUUGUUGAUUUGCUAUUGUGAGCUAGGUGUUUUCAGUGAGUUGGAACUGGCUGUGGCUGCCUGGUCUCCCCAUACUCGUGCUGACACCUGCUUCAGUGGGUUUUUUAUUUUUUCUCGAUAUUCAGUAAGUGACUGGCUCAGGGCUGCCAUCUUGGAUGCGUGUGCAUGUGUGGAAGCCAGAGGUCAACCUGGGUGUCGUUCCUCGGGAGCUGUUCUUUACCUGUUUAGCUGCUUGGUGUCUUUAUCUCACUUUAUUUGCGUGUGUGUAUAUACACCAUGUGCAAGCAUGGUCCUCCAUGAAGCCAGAGGAAGGCGCUGGAUUCUGGAGCUGGAGUUAUUUGGUGCUAUUGAUGACUGUUUGCCCCCAGGUGGAUUUUGGGAAUCAGACUCAGGUUCCCUACAAGAGCCAUAAAUGCUCUGAAGCUGCUGAGUCCUCUCCACCCGUCUCCAUCCCAGUCUUCAGGAGGCAGAAGUAGGUGACUUUGUAAGUUUGAGGCCAGCCUGGUCUUCACAGUGAAUUGCAGACUCGUGCUACUAGAUGAGACCCUACCAAUCAGUCAGUGGCUGAGCACAGUUGUACACACCUGUAAUUUCACUUCAGCCUCAUAGCUCCCCUGCCCCCAGAUAUACAACCUCAUGACCUUUGGAAAAAACAAGCCAGCAACCAACAACCCAAUGAUCCUAGGGAUCAAACUAUUCACUUCAAGGGUCUCCUUUAGACUCUUCCCUGACCUCUCUCUCCCUUCCUCCCAACACCAACCAGUUAUUUCCUAUUUAAGAUUCUGGGGGAUUUUGAAUGGGGUCAGAACCAGGCCAGGGGAAGGGUAGACUAGUUGGGGAAGCCAUCAUAGCAGCAUUCAGCAACCCAAAGUUGGACUCCUUGGCUGUGGGUUUCUGGCCUGUAGGGGAAGGGGUUUCUCAUGUUCUGAUCUACACACAUACAGCCUGGGUGUCUACUGUAUAUCUCCCUGGGGUCUCAAUUCCCCUGGCAUGUACACAUCCAGGAAGGGUGGCUUUAUUUUUGUCCUUUGGAGACAAUGGCUGGCUCAUGUGACAUGGGCUAUAGAAGUAUGUGUUGAGGGUGACCUUGAACUGAUCCUUCUGACUCCACUUUGCAGGCUGCUGAUAGGUGUGGAUCACCUCACCAGCCUGUCCUUACUCAAGGUUUGCCAAGGUGCUUCUCCUCCAGGACCCACUUGGGGUGUGGAAAAGCUAGCUCACAGUGAGCCCCCAUCUAUGACAGACUUCACGGUGAUGGCCUUUACAAAGUGCUGCUAUCCUGUCUGGUCCUCCUGCCCACUUAGAUUCCGCCUUAUGGGUUAGUAUUGUGGAGUAGGUGGACCAGGGGCUGGGGAGGGCUUGACAGCCAUCUGCUUGGAGCAGAAGUGACCAGGCAAGUGGCUGAAUCCAUGUGGGGUCCUGCCCCAUCAAUGAGUCUUUGUUUUACAAAGGCCCUGGGCUUUGUCUCUGCCUGCCAGCUGGGGGGCUGGGUCUCAAAAGACCCCGUGGUUUCCAGAGACUUUUCCCCCUGGCUGUUCUGUUUAUAACAAAGUUGAUCCUGUAGUACCCGUCUCGUCUCAGGAACUGAGAAGCCUUUAGGGACGGGUGAGCAUUCGCCAUGCUGGCCGAGGGGCAGGCAGCCAGUAUUGAUGUGGAUGCUCCUUUGCUUCUCGAGCAGGGGGAGGAACUACUGCUCUGGAGGCCUAAAUAGGCCACUUUCUAAACCCCUCGCCGUGUCCAGUCUUCUGGACCCACAGUGCCUGCCUUGAGACCCAGGGGAAGUAGGUCUUUACUUGGUAAACAGAACCCCAGACACUCCAUAGGUGACCAGUGCUGGGAGUGGACACCCUGAGCUUAUCUCUACACAGGCCCUUGUGGGCAUUUGUGCAGUCAGGGCUGACUCUGAGGCUUAAGCAGGUUCUCCUGUUUUAAGAGCUCCAAGGAAGGGCGAGGGGCCAAGCAUAUGCAGUUGCAUGUGUACUAAAGAUAAACCAGCUAUUUGGCUGGGUCCAGGGCACAGGUUUCCUCAAAGGGUCAAAGUGUGGCGCCCUCUAGUGGUUGGAAAGCCAGGGAGGCAUCUGGGGAACCACCAGCUUUCUCCUUGGCCUGUCCUGGACCCUGGUCCUCAGAAAGGCCUGCUAGUCCCCCAGAGACCCCCUCCCCAGCCCAACUACUACUCUGGGAUGUACUCUGCUGGAACCAAAGCUGGCUUCUAGGUCCCACUUCUCUGGAGCCAGACUACAGUGACCCCUGCACGAAUCUGAGUUCAAACCAGCCAGCAAGUCCCUAGGCCUUGUCCAUUUCCCACAAGCAAGCAGAUCUCCUGGAAGGUGGGUGUCUGACAGGCAGAUCAGUACUAGGCCAGAGGCCAACACAGGACAUCAGUGGUGUCAACAAAGUCCUCAUUGAAGGCAGCCUUUCUUGGACACCAGUGAGGACUAGGGCUGUACCCACAGUUCAACUUGUAGGUCAGAACCCGAGGGGUACUGUUGACAAGCUUUUAAGGAGUCACAUCAGAGAGCCUAUAUUAAAGGAUCACAGCAUUAGGAAGGUUGAGAACCACUGGUCUGGGGACCACACACUUCCCUGCUGCACCCCAAGCCCUGCUGACCAACAACCCCCCUGUAUGUGAUCUCUAAGAUGGGGUCUCAGAGCCUCAAGCAGUGACACACACAUGGUGGUGUAGGUCUUUAUUUGUGGGGUCCCAGCAGGCCCAGCCCCCUCCAACAGGGUAAAGUCAGAGCAUGUGUGCCCUGGCCUUUCCCUCAUGACCCCACUCCCCCACUCCACAGGGCUGUAGUGACA
rnacentral:sRNA from 1 species